rnacentral:rRNA from 1 species
AUGGACAGCGACGGGGAGCCGUUGUUCGAAGACAAGCUCUCUGCCCAAGUCGGCGCAAACAAGAAGCACGAGAGCAAGCGGACGAAGGCAUACACGUAGCCGGAGGACAAGCUCCUUUGUGAGUGUUGGAGGGACAUUGGACAAGACCCCAAGGUUGGCGCCGAGCAAAAGGCAUCUACCUUUUGGCUAUAUGUUCAUCGCAAAAAUGAACGCAACAAGUUCACGCCGUACCAAAUGGAGAGCAAGCGCGGGUGGGUGUCCCUCUCGCAGUGA